rnacentral:rRNA from 1 species
UACGUAGGGUGCGAGCGUUAAUCGGAAUUACUGGGCGUAAAGCGUGCGCAGGCGGUGGCUCAAGCCAGGCGUGAAAUCCCCGGGCUUAACCUGGGAAUGGCGUUUGGGACUGGGUCGCUAGAGUGUGGCAGAGGGAGGUGGAAUUCCACGUGUAGCAGUGAAACGCGUAGAGAUGUGGAGGAAUACCGAUGGCGAAGGCAGCCCCCUGGGAUAACACUGACGCUCAUGCACGAAAGCGUGGGGAGCAAACAGG